rnacentral:rRNA from 1 species
UACGGAGGGUGCAAGCGUUAAUCGGAAUUACUGGGCGUAAAGCGCACGCAGGUGGCUGAGUCAGUCGAUUGUGAAAGCCCUGGGCUUAACCUGGGAAUUGCAGUCGAUACUACUCAGCUAGAGUAUGGGAGAGGGCAGUGGAAUUCCCGGUGUAGCGGUGAAAUGCGUAGAUAUCGGGAGGAACAUCAGUGGCGAAGGCGGCUGCCUGGCCCAAUACUGACACUCAGGUGCGACAGCGUGGGGAGCAAGCAGG